GGCCAGACUCCUACGGGAGGCAGCAGUGGGGAAUAUUGCACAAUGGGGGAAACCCUGAUGCAGCGACGCCGCGUGAGUGAAGAAGUAUUUCGGUAUGUAAAGCUCUAUCAGCAGGAAAGAAAAUGACGGUACCUGACUAAGAAGCCCCGGCUAACUACGUGCCAGCAGCCGCGGUAAUACGUAGGGGGCAAGCGUUAUCCGGAUUUACUGGGUGUAAAGGGAGCGUAGACGGUGAAGCAAGUCUGAAGUGAAAGGCGGGGGCUCAACCCCCGGACUGCUUUGGAAACUGUUUGACUGGAGUGCAGGAGAGGUAAGUGGAAUUCCUAGGGUAGCGGUGAAAUGCGUAGAUAUUAGGAGGAACACCAGUGGCGAAGGCGGCUUACUGGACUGUAACUGACGUUGAGGCUCGAAAGCGUGGGGAGCAAACAGGAUUAGAUACCCCAGUAAU
rnacentral:rRNA from 1 species